UUGGGCUUAGUUUCUGAAGAAUUAUCCUCUGGGAUUUAAUGUUUUAAAGUAUGCAUUUUUUUUUUCAUUUCUUGUUGUUCAUUUUUAAGCUAGGAAAGCUCCAAUUUAAUUUGUUUUAUUUCCAUUUGUAAUUUAGAAUUUGUAAUUUGUUUGGGUUUUAUAUCUUGUAUAUUGUACAUUUGUGAUUUACUAGGGAUAAUUUCUUUUUCUUUUUCUAGUUUAUCAUUUAACGAGGAUUUUAUUUUUAAAGAUAUUUUCUUUUAAG
rnacentral:lncRNA from 1 species